GGUUCAUUCAAAUUUCUGCCCUAUCAACUUUCGAUGGCUGGGUCUUGGCCAGCCAUGGUAGCAACGGGUAACGGAGGGUUAGGGCUCGACCCCGGAGAAGGAGCCUGAGAAACGGCUACUACAUCCAAGGAAGGCAGCAGGCGCGCAAAUUACCCAAUCCCGACCGGGGAGGUAGUGACAAUAAAUACUGAUACAGGGNCUUUUUGGGUCUUGUAAUUGGAAUGAGUACAAUUUAAACCCCUUAACGAGGAACAAUUGGAGGGCAAGUCUGGUGCCAGCAGCCGCGGUAAUUCCAGCUCCAAUAGCGUAUAUUAAAGUUGUUGCAGUUAAAAAGCUCGUAGUUG
rnacentral:rRNA from 1 species